CAUGGCCGAAUGACACAAACUCGCAAUGUCCCAAGUCAUGGCUGCACAUGGAGUGGUCCAACACCUCAAGAGCAGCCUAAUAGGUGGACACAAAGUGUUGAGCAAAAAGCGUUGGAUCAGAUGACUCAACUCAGCCACCAGAUAUGGUUUUGGGUACUGAUGUUAAUGAAAUUAACAGUGGUACUGCAGAUGAUGUGCCUGAGUGUAAUGGGAAACAAACAAUGCGGAGGUGUCUUGGACUAGCUGGAUGCACUGAGUUUAUGAAGCUUCGUAAGCACGGCCUCAUUCCAUUGCAGAUUAAUGAUGGUUAGAGGGCACCAUCAUGUGAGAACACAAUGUUCUUUACAACAAGACUAACAUGGAUUAUCAAACAUCAUGCAAGCAUGAUUCAGAAUAGUUGGGAUGUUGUAGAUGCACAAGAGAAAGAGGAAUUAAUCAAUCGUGUCAGGGCUGACUUCAUUCUAGAUUGGAGUAAGAGGAAUCAUCGUGAGAUGGUGGAGAGGAAUCUCGGGAAGAAGUUCAAUGACUUCCACUACCAGCUUCAUAAAAUAUACAGGGGUUGUGACACACAGCAGGAGGCAUUAAUGAAGUCAACCUCAUUGGUGGAACCAGAUGUAUGGAAAAAGUUAUGUGAAAGAUGGGGGAGUGAUGAAUUCAAG